ACAACCUUACUUGAACAGGAUCUGUUCUAUAGGCUCGUACCUCUGUGUCCUUGAGUUCUAAGGAGACAGGAUUUCUAGUCUGGUUGAUGAACCGAGACUGUGUGAUCAGAAUGUGACUAAUGGCCUGCCUUCCUCUUCAGAGGUUGCUUUGGCUGCAGGGGAUCGUUCUCAGUCAGCUUGAACCUGGCUGGGAUGAUUACACAGUUGUCUGACAGACU